rnacentral:rRNA from 1 species
AGUGAACGCUGGCGGUAGGCCUAACACAUGCAAGUCGAACGGCAGCACAGUAAGAGCUUGCUCUUACGGGUGGCGAGUGGCGGACGGGUGAGGAAUACAUCGGAAUCUACUUUUUCGUGGGGGAUAACGUAGGGAAACUUACGCUAAUACCGCAUACGACCUACGGGUGAAAGCAGGGGAUCUUCGGACCUUGCGCGAUUGAAUGAGCCGCUGUCGGAUUAGCUAGUUGGCGGGGUAAAGGCCCACCAAGGCGACGAUCCGUAGCUGGUCUGAGAGGAUGAUCAGCCACACGGGAACGGGGCCACGGUCCAGACUCCUACGGGAGGCAGCAGUGGGGAAUAUUGGACAAUGGGCGGAAGCCUGAUCCAGCCAGACCGCGUGGGUGAAGAAGGCCUUCGGGUUGUAAAGCCCUUUUGUUGGGAAAGAAAAGCAGCAGGUUAAUACCCAGCUGUUCUGACGGUACCCAAAGAAUAAGCACCGGCUAACUUCGUG